rnacentral:tRNA from 1 species
AUCCCUGUGGCUCAGUUGGUAGAGCCUGGUGUUUGCAACGCCAGCAUGGUGUGUGCAACGCCAGGGUUGUGGGUUCGAUUCCCACGGGGGACC